rnacentral:rRNA from 1 species
GACAGAGGGGGCAAGCGUUGCUCGGAAUUACUGGGCGUAAAGGGCGCGUAGGCGGGAUGGCAAGUCGGUCGUGAAAUCCCUCGGCUCAACCGAGGAACGUCGAUCGAUACUGCUGUUCUUGAGGAUUGCAGAGGAGACUGGAAUUUACGGUGUAGCGGUGAAAUGCGUAGAUAUCAGGAGGAACACCGAUGGCGAAGGCAGGUCUCUGGGCCACUACUGACGCUGAGAAGCGAAAGCAUGGGGAGCGAACAGG